ACGCUCGACACCUACGGGAGGCAGCAGUGGGGAAUAUUGCACAAUGGAGGAAACUCUGAUGCAGCGACGCCGCGUGGAGGAAGAAGGUCUUCGGAUUGUAAACUCCUGUUGUUGAGGACGAUAAUGACGGUACUCAACAAGGAAGUGACGGCUAACUACGUGCCAACAGCCGCGGUAAUCUGAGCGGGCUGGCAAGGC
rnacentral:rRNA from 1 species